rnacentral:rRNA from 1 species
UACGGAGGGUGCAAGCGUUAAUCGGAAUUACUGGGCGUAAAGCGCACGCAGGUGGCUGAGUAAGUCGAUUGUGAAAGCCCUGGGCUUAACCUGGGAAUUGCAGUCGAAACUACUCGGCUAGAGUAUGGGAGAGGGCAGUGGAAUUCCCGGUGUAGCGGUGAAAUGCGUAGAUAUUGGGAGGAACACCUGUGGCGAAAGCGGCGCACUGGACCAUAACUGACGCUGAGGCGCGAAAGCUAGGGGAGCAAACAGG